rnacentral:rRNA from 1 species
GUGGGGAAUCUUGCGCAAUGGGCGAAAGCCUGACGCAGCCAUGCCGCGUGAAUGAUGAAGGUCUUAGGAUUGUAAAAUUCUUUCACCGGGGACGAUAAUGACGGUACCCGGAGAAGAAGCCCCGGCUAACUUCGUGCCAGCAGCCGCGGUAAUACGAAGGGGGCUAGCGUUGCUCGGAAUUACUGGGCGUAAAGGGCGCGUAGGCGGACAGUUUAGUCAGAGGUGAAAGCCCAGGGCUCAACCUUGGAAUUGCCUUUGAUACUGGCUGUCUUGAGUUUGGGAGAGGUGAGUGGAACUCCGAGUGUAGAGAUGAAAUUCGUAGAUAUUCGGAAGAACACCAGUGGCGAAGGCGACUCACUGGCCCAAUACUGACGCUGAGGCGCGAAAGCGUGGGGAGCAAACAGGAUUAGAAACCCCUGUAGUCC